AGCUCCAAUAGCGUAUAUUAAAGUUGUUGCAGUUAAAAAGCUCGUAGUUGGACUUUGGAGUGGGCCAGUUGGUUCGCCGCAAGGUGUGUUACUGACUGGUCUGCUCUUCUUCGCAAAGACUGCGUGUGCUCUUUGUUGAGUGUGCGUAGGAUUUACGACGGUUACUUUGAAAAAAUUAGAGUGUUCAAAGCAGACUAUUGCUUGAAUACAUGAGCAUGGAAUAAUGGAAUAGGACUUUGGUCCCAUUUUGUUGGUUUCUAGGACCGAAGUAAUGAUUAAGAGGGACAAUUGGGGGCAUCCGUAUUUCGUUGUCAGAGGUGAAAUUCUUGGAUUUACGAAAGACGAACAACUGCGAAAGCAUUUGUUUUCA
rnacentral:rRNA from 1 species